rnacentral:tRNA from 1 species
CCUUCCGUAGCUUAGUGGUUAAAGCACUCGCCUGUCGAGCGAGGGGACGCGCGUUCGAAUUGCGUCGGAGGGA